rnacentral:tRNA from 1 species
GCAAUGGUGGCUCAGUGGUAGAAUUCUCGCCUUCCAUAUGUGGAAGACCUGGAUUCAAAUCCCAGCCAGUGCA